GUGAAAUUGUUGAAAGGGAAGCGCUUGCAACCAGACCUGCCUGCAGUUGCUCAUCCGGGCUUUUGCCCGGUGCACUCUUCUGCUGUCAGGCCAGCAUCGGUUCGGGCGGUCGGAUAAAGGCUUCGGGAAUGUAGCUCCUCUCGAGGAGUGUUAUAGCCCGUUGCGAAAUGCGGCCAGCUUGAACUGAGGUCCGCGCUUCGGCUAGGAUGCUGGCGUAAUGGUUGUAAGCGGCCCGUCUUGAAACACGGACCAAGGAGUCUAACAUCUGUGCGAGUGUUUGGGUGUCAAACCCGUGCGCGUAAUGAAAGUGAACGGAGGCGGGAACCCCUCGGGGUGCACCGUCGACCGAUCCUGAUGUCUUCGGAUGGAUUUGAGUAAGAGCAUAGCUGUUGGGACCCGAAAGAUGGUGAACUAUGCCUGAAUAGGGUGAAGCCAGAGGAAACUCUGGUGGAGGCUCGCAGCGGUUCUGACGUGCAAAUCGAUCGUCAAAUUUGGGCAUAGGGGCGAAAGACUAAUCGAACUAUCUAGUAGCUGGUUCCUGCCGAAGUUUCCCUCAGGAUAGCAGUAACGUUUUCAGUUUUAUGCGGUAAAGCGAAUGAUUAGAGGCCUGGGGGUUGAAACAACCUUCACCUAUUCUCAAACUUUAAAUAUGUAAGAAGUCCUUGUUACUUAGUUGAACGUGGACAUUUGAAUGUAUCGUUACUAGUGGGCCAUUUUUGGUAAGCAGAACUGGCGAUGCGGGAUGAACCGAACGCGGAGUUAAGGUGCCGGAAUGCACGCUCAUCAGACA
rnacentral:rRNA from 1 species